rnacentral:misc_RNA from 1 species
GAAAUGCGAUAAGUAGUGUGAAUUGCAGAAUUCAGUGAAUCAUCGAAUCUUUGAACGUACAUUGCGCCCCUUGGUAUUCCAUGGGGCAUGCCUGUUCGAGCGUCAUUUGUACCCUCAAGCUCUGCUUGGUGUUGGGUGUUUGUCCCGUCUCCGCGCGUGGACUCGCCCCAAAGUGAUUGGCAGCCGGCGUACUGGUCCCGGAGCGCAGCACAUGUCGCGCAAACGAGUGCCUUGGUACGGCGGCGUCCAUAAGCCCCUCUCUCACGCUCUUGACCUCGGAUCAGGUAGGGAUACCCGCUGAACUUAAGC